GGUGAACGCUGGCGGCGUGCUUAAGACAUGCAAGUCGAACGCAGUCUUCGGACUGAGUGGCGCACGGGUGAGUAACACGUAACUGACCUACCCCCAAGUCGCGGAUAACUGGCCGAAAGGUCAGCUAAUACGUGAUGUGACGUCCCCUUUCUGGGGGGCCAUUAAAGGUUUACUGCUUGGGGAUGGGGUUGCGUUCCAUCAGCUAGUUGGCGGGGUAAAGGCCCACCAAGGCAACGACGGAUAGCCGGCCUGAGAGGGUGGCCGGCCACAGGGGCACGGAGACACGGGUCCCACUCCUACGGGAGGCAGCAGUUAGGAAUCUUCCGCAAUGGGCGAAAGCCUGAUGGAGCGACGCCGCGUGAGGGAUGAAGGUUCUCGGAUCGUAAACCUCUGAAUCAGGGACGAAAGACGCGUAAGCGGGAUGACGGUACCUGAGUAAUAGCACCGGCUAACUCCGUGCCAGCCGCCGCAGUAA
rnacentral:rRNA from 1 species